UCACUGCUUACGCAGGCAGUUUCUUUAGAGUCCCCGGCCGAACCGCUGGCAACUAAAGAUGAGGGUUGCGACCGGUCCUGGACAUGUCAAGGGCUGGUAAGGUUCUGCGCGUUGCGUCGAAUUAAACCACAUGCUCCACCGCUUGUGCGGGCCCCCGUCAAUUCCUUUGAGUUUUAAUCUUGCGACCGUACUCCCCAGGCGGAAUGCUUAAAGCGUUAGCUGCGCCACUAGUGAGUAAACCCACUAACGGCUGGCAUUCAUCGUUUACGGCGUGGACUAC
rnacentral:misc_RNA from 1 species